CAUAACCUCAAAUUAUACAAGUUUAAAUAUUGUCAUAAAAAAACAUCGUGAAACACAAAAAAACAACACAGCAGGUUCAGGAGAACUAAGGAAAGAAACGGAAUGAAGGAUAGCUUAGAAAGAGCACACACAUGACAGCUGACCUUUGGAUUAGCCGAAGAUGUAGGGGACUUGCCAGCGCAGUAGUCCGGAAUAAGAGCGCGGCGAACGGCAAAGGUGACGAUGGUUAUCCGCCACUCGGGUGGUAUGAAGGGGAAUCCUCCAACACAGAUACGACGACAAAAAUAAGGUCCUUCACGGGACAACAAUGCUCGAAGGCACAAUCAGAUAGAGAUAAAAGCUAAAAUAAGGAUAAUUUGAAUACUGUUACACUAUGGAAAACAACCUCUACGAUGUUAGGCGAGCUUUAAGUGAAUGUGUUUGAUGAUCCGCAAUAGCGUAGAAAAUUAAAUACCAAAAAAUACGAAACUGGUAAUAUCGCAGUAAAAUGAAGAAUUGGUGGAAACACAUGUAUGUCGACAAAAUGUCUUCAAGGAAGUGCCGAGUAAAAUUGAUAAGAGCAACGUGAAAGGAAAAGUGAUAAUAGUUAUCAGUAACAGGAAAUAGUAAUACAGAAAGGUGAAAGUUACUAAAUUUGAAUUUGAAUUUUAGGUAAACAAGAAUGAAGAGUAGAAUAAAGUAUAGCAGAGUAAAGUAGAGUUUUAAGAUUAAUUAGAAUGCAUAGGUAGUAUGAAAAAUCCGUUACAAAACCCAACUCAACAAAUUACCAAAGAAAGAAAAGAGAAGGGGUAUUUGAAUUGAUAUUUAUUUAGAUACUAAUUGCUUUGUUUGUGAAUGAAUAGCACCUAUAGCCUGCAGUGUUUUAGAAUCUACAUUAGAAA